rnacentral:rRNA from 1 species
UAGUACGGCGAGUGAGAGGGAAGAAGCCCAAGAUUGAAAGCUGGCGUCUUCGGCGUCCGCAUUGUAAUCUCAAGAAGUGUUUUCCGCUUCGGACCAUGCCUAAGUCCCUUGGAAAAGGGCAUCAUAGGGGGUGAUAAUCCCGUACAUGGCAUGGAGCGCCCGAAGCUUUGUGAUACGCUUUCUACGAGUCGAGUUGUUUGGGAAUGCAGCUCAAAAUGGGUGGUAAAUGCCAUCUAAGGCUAAAUAUUGGGGAGAGACCGAUAGCGAACAAGUACAGUGAUGGAAAGAUGAAAAGAACUUUGAAAAGAGAGUUAAACAGUACGUGAAAUUGCCAAAAGGGAAGGGUAGGAGGUCAGAGAUGCGUCUUGGGAUUCAGCCUUGCUUUUGCAUGGUGUUUUUCCCAAGUUGCAGGCCAACGUCGGUUUUGGGCACUGGAGAAGGGUAGGAGGAACGUGGCACCUCUCGGGGUGUGUUAUAGCCUCCUACUGGAUACAGCGACCGAGACCGAGGAACGCAGCGUACUCGUAAGAGCGGGCCUUUUGGCACCUUUACGCUUAGGGCGUUGGCAUAAUGGCCCUCUACCACCCGUCU